rnacentral:rRNA from 1 species
UGUCAAGAAAAGUCUCUAUCGAGGUUAAAGGUACCCGUACCGCAAACCGACACAGGUGGGUGAGGAGAGUAUCCUAAGGCCAGCGAGAGAACUGUUGUUAAGGAACUCGGCAAAAUGACCCCGUAACGUAGGGAUCAGGGGUGCCACCAUCAGGUGGCCGCAGAGAAUAGGCCCAAGCGACUGUUUACCAAAAACAUAGGUUUCUGCUAAGUCGCAAGCAGAGGUAUAGGAGCUGACGCCUGCCCGGUGCCGGCAGGUUAAGGGGAUCUGUUAGAG